GGAUUAGAUACCCUGGUAGUCCACGCCGUAAACGAUGGAUGCUAGAUGUUGGUCAAUAGAUCAGUGUAGGAGCUAACGCAUUAAGCAUCCCACCUGGGAAGUACGCUCGCAAGGGUGAAACUCAAAGGAAUUGACGGGGGCCCGCACAAGCGGUGAAUUAUGUGGUUUAAUUCGAUGCAACGCGAAGAACCUUACCUGGGCUUGACAUGCUAGCUAAGGCCGAUGAAAGUCGGCGUCCUUCGGGGAGCUAGCGCAGGUGCUGCAUGGCUGUCGUCAGCUCGUGCCG
rnacentral:rRNA from 1 species